AGGAGUUGGGGUACCGGUGAAAAAGCAAGGAAUUACUUCGAAUCACCUUAUCCACCUGGCAAAACCUUGACUUACCUUGUGCUGUUUGCUGCCGAAGACUGCCUCGUAGCAAAAUUGCUCUACCGGAGCACUGGGAAGCAUCGUGCCUGCGAGUUCUUGGUGACGAGCAGCUACUUCAACAUGUCUGAGUCCUCCCUAUGCUGCGACCGCAUGUAUAGCAUCUCUUGUGAGGAAACUGCGCAAGUAUUGUAUGAGCCCGGAAAAUGCUCUGCCUUAGAGAAUGCCACAAAAGGUUGAAGGAAACCGAAGAAAGAUACAAUUAGCGUCGCGAUC